rnacentral:tRNA from 1 species
UAGCUCAGUUGGUAGAGCAUGGCGCUUGCAACGCCAGGGUUCUGGGUUCGACUCCCACG